rnacentral:rRNA from 1 species
UUGCCUACGGGUGGCUGCAGUGGGGAAUAUUGGGCAAUGGGGGAAACCCUGACCCAGCAACGCCGCGUGAAGGAAGAAGGUCUUCGGAUUGUAAACCUCUUUGAUCAGGGACGAAGAAAUGACUGUACCUGAAGAACAAGUCACGGCUAACUACGUGCCAGCAGCCGCGGUAAUACGUAGGUGGCGAGCGUUAUCCGGAUUUACUGGGUGUAAAGGGCGUGUAGGCGGGUCUGUAAGUCAGAUGUGAAAUCUCCGGGCUUAACUCGGAAGGGUCAUCUGAAACUGCGGAUCUUGAGUACUGGAGAGGAUAGUGGAAUUCCUAGUGUAGCGGUAAAAUGCGUAGAUAUUAGGAGGAACACCAGUGGCGAAGGCGGCUAUCUGGACAGUAACUGACGCUGAGGCGCGAAAGCGUGGGGAGCAAACAGGAUUAGAUACCCUUGUAGUCU